rnacentral:rRNA from 1 species
UAUAAGACUGGGAUAACUUCGGGAAACCGGAGCUAAUACCGGAUAAUAUUUUGAACCGCAUGGUUCAAAAGUGAAAGACGGUCUUGCUGUCACUUAUAGAUGGAUCCGCGCUGCAUUAGCUAGUUGGUAAGGUAACGGCUUACCAAGGCAACGAUGCAUAGCCGACCUGAGAGGGUGAUCGGCCACACUGGAACUGAGACACGGUCCAGACUCCUACGGGAGGCAGCAGUAGGGAAUCUUCCGCAAUGGGCGAAAGCCUGACGGAGCAACGCCGCGUGAGUGAUGAAGGUCUUCGGAUCGUAAAACUCUGUUAUUAGGGAAGAACAUAUGUGUAAGUAACUGUGCACAUCUUGACGGUACCUAAUCAGAAAGCCACGGCUAACUACGUGCCAGCAGCCGCGGUAAUACGUAGGUGGCAAGCGUUAUCCGGAAUUAUUGGGCGUAAAGCGCGCGUAGGCGGUUUUUUAAGUCUGAUGUGAAAGCCCACGGCUCAACCGUGGAGGGUCAUUGGAAACUGGAAAACUUGAGUGCAGAAGAGGAAAGUGGAAUUCCAUGUGUAGCGGUGAAAUGCGCAGAGAUAUGGAGGAACACCAGUGGCGAAGGCGACUUUCUGGUCUGUAACUGACGCUGAUGUGCGAAAGCGUGGGGAUCAAACAGGAUUAGAUACCCUGGUAGUCCACGCCGUAAACGAUGAGUGCUAAGUGUUAGGGGGUUUCCGCCCC